UAGGUGAUGGACAACAGGUUGAUAUUCCUGUACUACCGAUAACCGUUUGAGAGAAGGGAUGACACAGUAGGAUAAGCUAAGCACACUGUUGGUUAUGUGUGCCCAAGCAUUGAGGCAGUCAAAGUAGGCAAAUCCGCUUUGAUAAUGCUGGGAUGUGAUGGGGAGCGAAAUUUAGUAGCGAAGUAGCUGAUUUCACACUGUCAAGAAAAGUCUCUAUCGAGGUUAAAGGUACCCGUACCGCAAACCGACACAGGUGGGUGAGGAGAGUAUCCUAAGGCCAGCGAGAGAACUGUUGUUAAGGAACUCGGCAAAAUGACCCCGUAACUUAGGGAUAAGGGGUGCCACCAUCAGGUGGCCGCAGAGAAUAGGCCCAAGCGACUGUUUACCAAAAACAUAGGUUUCUGCUAAGUCGCAAGACGAUGUAUAGGAGCUGACGCCUGCCCGGUGCUGGAAGGUUAAGGGGAUCUGUUAGAGCAAUCGAAGCAGUGAACUUAAGCCCCAGUAAACGGCGGCCGUAACUAUAACGGUCCUAAGGUAGCGAAAUUCCUUGUCGGGUAAGUUCCGACCCGCACGAAAGGCGUAACGAUUUGGGCACUGUCUCAACAACAGACUCGGUGAAAUUGUAAUUCCGGUGAAGAUGCCGGAUACCUGCGACAGGACGGAAAGACCCCAUGGAGCUUUACUGUAGCUUGACAUUGGGUCUUGGUACUACAUGUACAGGAUAGGUGGGAGGCUUUGAAACCAGGACGCCAGUUUUGGCGGAGCCAUCCUUGGGAUACCACCCUUGUAGUACUGGGACUCUAACCAUAGGCCAUGAAUCUGGUCUUGGGACACUGUCAGGUGGGCAGUUUGACUGGGGCGGUCGCCUCCCAAAAGGUAACGGAGGCGCUCAAAGGUUCUCUCAGUACGGUCGGAAAUCGUACGUAGAGUGUAAAGGCAAAAGAGAGCUUGAUUGCAAGACAUACAGGUCGAGCAAGGAUGAAAAUCGGACUUAGUGAUCCGGUGGUUCUGCGUGGAAGGGCCAUCGCUCAACGGAUAAAAGCUACCCUGGGGAUAACAGGCUUAUCUCCCCCAAGAGUCCACAUCGACGGGGAGGUUUGGCACCUCGAUGUCGGCUCAUCACAUCCUGGGGCUGUAGUAGGUCCCAAGGGUUGGGCUGUUCGCCCAUUAAAGUGGUACGCGAGCUGGGUUCAGAACGUCGUGAGACAGUUCGGUCCCUAUCCGUCGCAGGCGUAGGAAAUUUGAGAAGACCUGUCCUUAGUACGAGAGGACCGGGAUGGACG
rnacentral:rRNA from 1 species